rnacentral:rRNA from 1 species
UAAUACAUGCAAGUCGAACGCGUCUUCGUUAACUGAAGUGCUUGCACGGACGUUAACCAUAAGACGAGUGGCGAACUGGUGAGUAACACGUAGGAAACCUGCCCAGAAGCAGGGGAUAACACUUGGAAACAGGUGCUAAUACCGUAUAACAACGAAAACCGCAUGGUUUUCGUUUGAAAGAUGGCUUCGGCUAUCACUUCUGGAUGGUCCUGCGGCGUAUUAGUUAGUUGGUGAGGUAAAGGCCCACCAAGACGAUGAUACGUAGCCGACCUGAGAGGGUAAUCGGCCACAUUGGGACUGAGACACGGCCCAAACUCCUACGGGAGGCAGCAGUAGGGAAUCUUCCACAAUGGACGAAAGUCUGAUGGAGCAAUGCCGCGUGAGUGAAGAAGGGUUUCGGCUCGUAAAACUCUGUUGUUGAAGAAGAACGGGUGCAAGAGUAACUGUUUGCAUCGUGACGGUAUUCAACCAGAAAGCCACGGCUAACUACGUGCCAGCAGCCGCGGUAAUACGUAGGUGGCAAGCGUUGUCCGGAUUUAUUGGGCGUAAAGCGAGCGCAGGCGGUUUCUUAAGUCUGAUGUGAAAGCCUUCGGCUUAACCGGAGAAGUGCAUCGGAAACUGGGGAACUUGAGUGCAGAAGAGGACAGUGGAACUCCAUGUGUAGCGGUGGAAUGCGUAGAUAUAUGGAAGAACACCAGUGGCGAAGGCGGCUGUCUAGUCUGUAACUGACGCUGAGGCUCGAAAGCAUGGGUAGCAAACAGGAUUA